CUCUUCCUGCCGCGCUCCCUCAGAACUGGCUGAAGAACACUAGCUACUUCUCCAGCUGCGUGCCGCCAUGUUCCCUGUCAUGGGGAUAAAGGGACUAAAUCCCUCUGAAACGGUUCAUCUAUGAAGCAGCUGGCUCCAGAACCUUCUGCCUGCCUAAGGCCGAAUAAUGCUCUGCUUCUGAGUAUGCUGACUUGGGUUGUCUGUUUACCUCACUGCUGGCUGCUGGCUGCUGUCCCCCUGGGAGCUCCCUGCUUGGCUGCUGUGGCUAAUGCUGCCAGGAGAGCAGGAGGAAGAAUGGACCCUUGCAAGGACACAGCUACCGCCCAGGGGUGCCUGGCGAGACAGAUUCUGCAAAUGUUUGUCAGCUCAGAGCCAGGUCUAGAAUGUGGCCUCUCUGGAGCUCGCUUGUUGGCUCCCCCAGAUGCAUCAUGGAAGGAGUUCCGCAUGCUCUGAGACAGUUUCUUCCCAGGAGGGGAUCAGCUUACUGGAGCAGCGCUGUUUUCUGUGGACCCUUGUCUAGUUGUGGCGGUUGCUGGGAAAGAUGAAGUCCCCAGACUGGAGCUCAGGCUGCAAAGAGGCUGGCAUGUAUCCUGGCUUGGGUGAUAGACCACAUGAUCACCUUCCAGGGACACCCAGCACAAGGCUGCAAUUCCCAACUGAGAGCUGUGCACAAGAGAGCAACUCCAGAAGCCAAGGGUGCACAGUGAGAUUAAGUACCUAAGACAAGGUGCAUCUAGAAAGCAGACCUCAAUUUUAAAAGCCCUGUAAUUACACAGUAUGCAGAAAGCGCCACGAGUGAAGCUUUCCAGAAGCAGAGCUCACCAAAUAACCAUCUGUGCUUUAGUGUCGCCAGACUUCCUUUCAGAACAGAUCAGGUCAUGUGACUAGUUGGGUCCUUGUAAUGGCAGAAGCGAGAUGCCCCUUCUAGGCCAAGGCAAGAUCUGCUGCCCUCUGACUUCUACCUGUUGCUGAGAUGACUUCUGUCGCCAAGGCACCUGGAUACCGAGCCACUCCUUGACAAAAGCCCUCUCCAGCCUGCGUGGACCUCGCGUGAGAGAAGUCUAGGUGGCUGUGGGCAGCCCACAGGCUUCCGUUGCCGCUGCGUUACAGCUUGUCGUCUUAAUCUUGAAAUGAGACCUGGUUCACUUGAUCUCAUUAAUAAAAGGUCUGUGCUCCCCCUAGUCAUAAAAACACGCCACCCUCCUGUUCACUGUCCUCUGAAGGAGCUGUUUUAUUUCAGUGUUUUUAAGGUGGUACUGGAUCCAUAGGCUCACACGGCCCCUACUUUCUUGGUGCUAUCUGAUGAUGUACCUUAAGCCCCCAGAGAAGUCGCUAGGUACCAGCAUUAUGGACUUUGAUGGAGACGUCACCUUAGAUGCUUAUCAGCCUGUAAAGUAAAAUUCCAAUUUUCCUA
rnacentral:lncRNA from 1 species